AAAGCAGUGGUCAGUACUACUGUGAGGUUCAGAAUGAACACGGAUCUAAAAUAUCAGAAACAGUGCUGCUUAGUUUCAAAGGUAUGAUUGAUUGACCGCUCCUAUUUGAUACAACAUUUGUGUCAUAAUAUUAAUGUUAAAAGUAGGAACAGUAAAGAUUGUUUCUUACACAGAGAAUCCAAGUGUUACUCCGUAUGUGAUUGGUGGAGUCGUGGUUGGCGGUGUUGGCUUGACCCUCCUUCUUGUCAUUUUGUUUAUAAGGAGAAAGAGAAGAGGUCCUGUAACUGAAGACCCCAAAACAAAACAGGAAAACAUCUACAGCAGUGUAGAAGCUGGAGCCACAUCAAAUGACCCACCAGCAGAUGCAGCCAAUCAAGAUGAUGGUCUUUAUGCUAGAGUAGAACUCCUCAGACCACAGAAACCCAGAACCGAAGAGUGCUCUGCAGUUUCCCAUGAGGAGGUUCAGUACAGUACCAUCCAGCACCACCAUGUUCAAGAGGCAAAGAAGACUGGAGAAGAAGAUGAUGUUCAGUACGCUAGUGUCAGCUUUUCCUGUACUACUCCGGAUUACAGAUGUUUCCACAUUUAAACAGUAUUAUAAAUGCUUAAACAGUGCCUACUACUGGUGACCUUUGGAACUGUUCAUGUUAGCAGACUUGGGAGGUAGUAGAGCAGCAAUUAGCAAUUAAGAUUAGUAAAAAAUGAUUAUUAAAUGUGUCUAAGAGGUUGUUGGAUUUUUUAAAUGCCUUUUAAUCUAAAUUCUUUUAUAUAUUUUAUGUGUACUGUGUGGAGUAAAAGACAAUUUACAUAGCUGUGGCUCUAGUUCAUUAGCAGAACGGGGGAUUUUGAUCGUACAUCUGAUCAUUAUAAAAAUAUAAUAAAAUAUAUCAAAUAUACUUUUAAUACUUAAUU
rnacentral:lncRNA from 1 species